rnacentral:rRNA from 1 species
AAUGAACGUUGGCGGCGUGGAUUAGGCAUGCAAGUCGCGCGAGAAGUCAUUUGGCUUGCUAAAAGGCGGACAGCGGCGGAAGGGAGAGUAACGCGUGGUUAUGUACCCUCGAGACCGGGAUAGUGUCGGGAAACUGGCAGUAAUACCGGAUAACAUCUUCGGAUCAAAUGGUGUGAUUCCGCUCGAGGAUCGGACCGCGUACUAUUAGCUAGUUGGCGGGGUAAUAGCCCACCAAGGCUUAGAUGGUUACCGGGUGUGAGAGCAUGGCCCGGCUCACUGGGACUGAGACACUGCCCAGACAUCUACGGAUGGCUGCAGUCGAGAAUCUUCGGCAAUGGACGAAAGUCUGACCGAGCGACGCCGCGUGCGGGAUGAAGGCCCUCGGGUUGUAAACCGCUGUCAGUUAGGAGGAAAUCCAUGAGGGUACUCUCUCAUGGUUGACCGAUUUUCAGAGGAAGGACGGGCUAAGUUCGUGCCAGCAGCCGCAGUAACAC